AGGCCAUUGCUAUCGGAGUCCGAUUUAGCCAUGCUAGUUGCACGAGUUUAGACUCGUAGCAUAUAGCUCAGUAACACGUGGCCAUACUACCCUACAGACCCCGAUAACCUCGGGAAACUGAGGCCAAUAGCGGAUAUAACUCUCAGACUGGAGUGUCGAGAGUUAGAAACGUUCCGGCGCUGUAGGAUGUGGCUGCGGCCGAUUAGGUAGAUGGUGGGGUAACGGCCCACCAUGCCGAUAAUCGGUACAGGUUGUGAGAGCAAGAGCCUGGAGACGGUAUCUGAGACAAGAUACCGGGCCCUACGGGGCGCAGCAGGCGCGAAACCUUUACACUGCACGACAGUGCGAUAGGGGGACUCCGAGUGUGAGGGCAUAUAGCCCUCGCUUUUCUGUACCGUAAGGUGGUACAGGAACAAGGACUGGGCAAGACCGGUGCCAGCCGCCGCGGUAAUACCGGCAGUCCAAGUGAUGGCCGAUAUUAUUGGGCCUAAAGCGUCCGUAGCU
rnacentral:rRNA from 1 species